GGCGUGGUCGUAUGUAAAGUUUUACGUCUAAAUCACCGUAAAAUCAGCGUUUUGUUUUUCGAGAGUAAUUUCUACCGACUCAAAAUCGCGUUUCUUCGGAAGUGUGGGUUCGACUCCCACCAUCGCCACCA
rnacentral:tRNA from 1 species